rnacentral:lncRNA from 1 species
AGAAAGCCUUGUGCAACUCCAUCACCUUGUGCUCCUUCCCAUCAACAAAAAAAAUACCAUUUUGCACCUACUUAAUGUUUUUACUCACUUCUUUCAUCCUCCUUGCCUCCUCCAUUACUUCUUCCAAGCUUGUUCUCCUUUUAUUUUCUCUUUAUUUUUUUUGCUUGUUCCUUCUAUGUAGCUUACCCUCAAGUGCAUCAAGCACCAUCUUCAUUGUCUCCUUCAUUAGUUCCAUCUAGUGCAACUCUUGUUUUGUCUCCAUUAGCUUGGACUUCUUGUUCUUAUGGGCAUAUUCACCCCUCCCACUCUCCACAUCCUCAUCACUCUCACCAAUCUCACACACCUCUCCAUUGUCACUACUGCUUGCAAUUCAAGCCCAUCACAAGUAGUACUUCCUCCACCAACAUUAGCAAUUGCUUCCCAAACCCAUCACAAGUUGAAAUUGGCAAAUAAUGUAAAUGUUUCUUUCUUUAUGUAUGACACACUUACAAAAUGAUAUCCAUGAGUGAAACUACCUAUCCCUAAGCUUGUGUUUGAUCUCUGUUAGCCUGAACUUCCUAUUCUUGUGAGUACGUUCAUCCCUCCAACUCUCACAUCCUCAUCAGUCUCCCUAAUCUCACAAUCCUCUCACCUCUCACUAUCGGUAGCAUAAUGUCAAUCCUAUCACAAGAGGUACUUCCUCUACCGGCAUUAGCAAUUGCUCCCUAAACCCAUCACAAGUUGAAAUGGACAAAUGAUGUUAAUGUUGCUUCUUUAUAUAUUACAUAAUUACAAAAUGAUAUUUAUGAGUGAACUGCUUAUCCACAA